rnacentral:tRNA from 1 species
UGCCCAGAUAGCUCAGUUGGUAGAGCAAGGGACUGAAAAUCCCUGUGUCACUGGUUCGAUUCCAGUUCUGGGCAU